rnacentral:tRNA from 5 species
GGAGGCGUGGUGUAGUCGGCCUAACACGCAUGCCUGUCACGCAUGAGAUCACGGGUUCGAAUCCCGUCGCCUCCGCCA